rnacentral:rRNA from 1 species
GAUGAACGCUGGCGGCGUGCCUAAUACAUGCAAGUCGAGCGAACAGACGAGGAUCUUGCUCCUCUGACGUUAGCGGCGGACGGGUGAGUAACACGUGGAUAACCUACCUAUAAGACUGGGAUAACUUCGGGAAACCGGAGCUAAUACCGUAUAAUAUAUUGAACCGCAUGGUUCAAUAGUGAAAGACGGUUUUGCUGUCACUUAUAGAUGGAUCCGCGCCGCAUUAGCUAGUUGGUAAGGUAACGGCUUACCAAGGCAACGAUGCGUAGCCGACCUGAGAGGGUGAUCGGCCACACUGGAACUGAGACACGGUCCAGACUCCUACGGGAGGCAGCAGUAGGGAAUCUUCCGCAAUGGGCGAAAGCCUGACGGAGCAACGCCGCGUGAGUGAUGAAGGUCUUCGGAUCGUAAAACUCUGUUAUUAGGGAAGAACAAAUGUGUAAGUAACUAUGCACGUCUUGACGGUACCUAAUCAGAAAGCCACGGCUAACUACGUG